rnacentral:rRNA from 1 species
UUUUAUUAUGAGAGUUUGAUCCUGGCUCAGGACGAACGCUGGCGGCGUGCCUAAUACAUGCAAGUCGAACGCUUCUUUCCUCCCGAGUGCUUGCACUCAACUGGAAAGAGGAGUGGCGGAC